GCCGCCAGACGUACUGGUGGUAACUGGAGAUGGACCUCCUCAGUUGACCUUAACGUGUGCUGGGGAUCAUACAGAAGAAGGCACUCUCUAAGAUAAUUCAUCAAUCCCCAUCCAAGGACUCCUAAUACAGGUGCCAGACCUCCAACUGUCUCCCCUCAAGGACUAUGGAUUCUAAAAACUCAUUUCUGUUCCUGACUCACUGAAACCUGUUCUACCAAAUUUGUCUCUAUUCAUGUUAGUUUCACAAAUCGAUUAGUAACCCUUGGUGAAUAAAUAAUGUAAUUUGUUUUCUAUAUUAUUUAUAAUAAAACUGUGUAGAACCUGAA